CCUACGGGAGGCAGCAGUGGGGAAUAUUGGACAAUGGAGGCAACUCUGAUCCAGCAAUGCCGCGUGUGUGAUGAAGGCCCUAGGGUUGUAAAGCACUUUCAACGGUGAAGAUGAUGACGGUAGCCGUAGAAGAAGCCCCGGCUAACUUCGUGCCAGCAGCCGCGGUAAUACGAAGGGGGCGAGCGUUAUUCGGAAUUAUUGGGCGUAAAGGGCUCGCAGGCUGCUUGAACAGUUAGACGUGAAAUCCCCGGGCUCAACCUGGGAACUGCGUUUAAUACUAGCAAGCUAGAGUAAUAGAGAGGAAAGUGGAAUUCCCAGUGUAGAGGUGAAAUUCGUAGAUAUUGGGAAGAACACCAGUGGCGAAAGCGGGCUUUCUGGCUAUUUACUGACGCUGAGGAGCGAAAGCGUGGGGAGCAAACAGGAUUAGAUACCCUGGUAG
rnacentral:rRNA from 1 species